GGAAGGAUCAUUAUCAUACAACGGAGGUGCGAGGGCUGUCGCUGACCUUCAAAGGUCGUGCACGCCCAAGCGCUCUCACCCAAUCCAUCUCACCCCUUUUGUGCAUCACCGCGUGGGUCCCCCCUUUGCGGGGAGGGCUUGCGUUUUCACAUCAAACUCGAUACAGUGUAGAAUGUCUAUUUUUGCGGUCACACGCAAUCAAUACAACUUUCAACAACGGAUCUCUUGGCUCUCGCAUCGAUGAAGAACGCAGCGAAAUGCGAUACGUAAUGUGAAUUGCAGAAUUCAGUGAAUCAUCGAAUCUUUGAACGCACCUUGCGCCCCUUGGCAUUCCGAGGGGCACACCCGUUUGAGUGUCGUGAAACCCUCAAAACCCUUUUCUUUGAUCCUUUACGGUCGGGAAAAGGAUUUUUGGACUUGGAGGUUCAAUGCUCGCUUUCACUUUUGAAAGCGAGCUCCUCUCAAAUGAAUCAGUGGGAUCCGCUUUGCCGAUCUUUGACGUGAUAAGAUGUUUCUACGUUUUGGAUUUGGCACUGUCCCUUGGAUGCCCGCUCCUAACCGUCUCAUGGACAACGAUGGUGCUCCGGUCACCGCCAUCUACAUUGGCGGGAGGCUUGACCCACAAAAAAACCUUGACCUCAAAUCGGGUGAGACUACCCGCUGAACUUAAGCAUAUCAAUAAGCGGAGGAAAAGAAACUAACA
rnacentral:sRNA from 1 species